UGAAGAUGGGAGGGGGAAAAACACUGGGAGAGAACGAGGGAAGGGGUGUUAUUGUCCAAAAGGAAAUGUUAUCUUUGCUUGACUUAUGUAAGUGUAACCCU